rnacentral:sRNA from 1 species
AGCAGCCGCGGUAAUUCCAGCUCCAAUAGCGUAUAUUAAAGUUGUUGCAGUUAAAAGCUCGUAGUUGAAUUUCGGGGUUCUACCGUUGGUCAGGCUAUAGUCUGUACUGGCGUGUGGAAUUUCUACCUUCUGGGGAACUAUCAUGUUAUUAAUUUAGCGUGGUAGGAAACCAGAACCUUUACCUUGAAAAAUUAGAGUGUUCAAAGCAGGCUUACGUCUGAAUACAUUAGCAUGGAAUAAUAAAAUAGGACGUGGUCCUGUUUGUUGGUUUCUGAAUCACCGUAAUGAUUAAUAGGGAUAGUUGGGGGCAUUAGUAUUCAAUUGUCAGAGGUGAAAUCUUGGAUU